UUGAAUGCAUGGAGGAAGAUAGAGGGGAGGAUGCUAGCCCUAGGUCUUUAUUGGAUUCCUUGGCUGUUGCACUUCCUAAAGGGUGCAAGUUUCUGGGGCCUCUGCAAAGCAGAGAUCUCCUCAUCCCUGGGCAUUCACUGAUGUCUUGACUGAGGAUCCACUUAGCCUUCAAAAAGCAGCAGUUCUUCUGUGUUGAGGUGGCUUCAGAAGUGCAGCUACGGGAAUAGGAAGGAGGUGGUGGGAUCAGGGCUUGAAUAUUCUUAAAUCGUUUCCUUUUUGCUUGAGGUUUUUUUCUUGGUUGCUAUGCUUGGGCAGUGCUUUUGAAAGGAGCUUAAUCCUGCCAGUUGCUGGAAUGGAACCCAUCACCAACAAGGAUACAGGUGAUCCAGAAUUAGACGAAGUGAUUUACUUUCUGCACUAGCCUGUUUCAGCACUACAGCACUAGUAAUCCUGGGCACUGUGAGCUGUGCAAAUAGAUGCCUAGAGAUACCCUUGCUUUGCUGAGCUAAAAAGACAAGAAAGGUUUAUUGCUUCCCUUUGAUAUGUGAGAAUUAUGGGCUAAAGAAAUGAAGUGGCUGUAUGUAAUCCCUUGUCACACAGCCACCAAGCAGUGCCCUGGACUGGGAAGACUCUUGCUGGGUGAGGUUGAAUGUGGGAUGACAGCACACGGCGGGGUCAGCCUCCAGGGGCUGGAGCUGCCGAAGUGGGGGCAGCAUUUGAGAGAGGAUUUUUAGCCUCAGCUCCAUGGAGAAGCAGCCUCUGCACUGGCCUCAGGGAGACUGAGGGCUGUGGUGCCCCAUGCUCAGCUGAUUCAUCUCCUCUCUUGCACUCAAUGACGUGGGCACACCCAGAGCAGUCCCCAUUGAAGAUUCAUCUCAGGUUCUGCAGCAGAACGUCAGUGAGAAGCCUCAUAAAAGGAUGUGGAACUGGAUGCCAGAUUUCCAACAUCUGACAAAGAAACCCACCUGGAUGGGGCCUCUUCCCUCACCACUCCAGCUGCAACAAUGAACAAGAGCCUGCGUGCCACACUGCAUGUAACAGUCUGUACCAGUGGAAGUGACUUGCUGUCUCCACUGCUGAAACCUUGUCAGACUGUCCCUCUGCUGCCCUCUUUUCCAUGGCAACGAAAUGUAACGCUGUUGGUGAGAAGGUUCAACCUCAACUGCCAUACCACCAGUAUCCACCUCUGACACCGGGGGACAACGUAAUAAAGUAGAAGAAGAGGAAAGAGUGGGAGAGUGGUACUGGAGGAGCACAGGUCCCAGCUGAGAAGUGUCAGAAGAGUGCAUGUCCCUGGGCAGGGCACAGCUCAGGCCUGGGCUCAAGUGAGUGUGCAGAGAAUGACUGCUUCCCCACAUAGUUCAGGGGGAUGAUGCCCUUCCCAGCCAAGGAAGACCUAUGUCUUAGAACUUGGAGAGUACUCAGCAAGGAGCUGUUUGAAGAUGUCAAAACAGCAUCUCUGCAUUUCUGUGAUAGGCACUAGCUCUUACAAACUGAUCAGGUGCAAAAGCUGUCAUAGGAAAUAAGAAAAGCCAUUUCUGUUUAGGUAAAACUAGUAAGAUGUAGACUUUUACACCCAACUCUGUGAAGCAGAAAAAGUUCAAGAGCAGAGUUGCUGUGGACAUCCACAGAACAUCAGUGCCUAAUCCCAAUUCAGCCCUUCCACAUUGCCCAAGGAGCACUCUGCUGCUUUCAUUGUAUACGCCCUUGAUUUGUCUUUGACUUUCCUCUUGUCUGUAAGUUCCUGUAGGUAGCAGCCCCCAGAAUUUUGUUCUGUAGAACUGUAAACACUGUAAGGAUAUCUGCUAAAUUACAAAGCUUAUUUUCAGGUAGUUGUUUCAGCCAAUACCAUUUUUUAAUUAAAAUGCAUUUUAAAAUGGUCUGAGCAUUGGCCAACAAAAAAAAUAUAUAUAUACCCUAGAGAUCUCCAAGUUCUCUGAAUGGCCAAAAUGUCUUGUUUGCUGCAGGCUGUAAUUGACUCCGCUGCUGCAGGGUCACACAGAGUUAGAAACUCUGCCCUCUUCACACAGAGCCAUACCUGCCCUGGGGCUGCUCCAGGGCACAUGAAAUCAGUGCCUGGUAUGACCACAUCCAUUUGCUGGCUGGGUAACUGGAGAAGAGACAACGUGGCUGAAGUGUCUAUGGGUUUUUAUUCUUUGAUUCCUUCCUGCUUUGUCCUUGGGUUGCUCUUUCUUUGUGCUGAAGGACUUUAACUGCUUUGAGGCUGGAGGAGAGCAAUGUAGCUCAAAUUCAGUAUAAAUGUGUGACCAUGACAUUGCCAUCCAAUUGCACAUUCAUACCCAUGUUGAACAGUGAGGCCAAGCAAAUGGAUGUGGUGUUCCAGGAGAUUUCCUACAAUGGUGGUCUCCCAUUUGGCUGGCUAACCAGUCCCUCAUAAGCAGAUGCUUUUAUAUCUUCCUCUCCAUUGGCUGCAGGAAAUGCUCUGUAAGAAUGCAUGAGCAUCAUUCCAGCACAGUUAUCAGGGAGUGCUUUCUAGCUACUGGCCUGUCAUUCUGUCCACACUGGUUGUUGCCCUUGCAGAAGUUGCAGAGACUGUAGGAAAUGGGGGAAAGUCAGGCAUUCCAAUCCCUUCAGCAUUUGCCAAGCAGACAGACUGCUCCCUGGAGUCCUGCAAGAGCAAGUGAGCUUGCAUAUUUGCCAUACGUUGUUACGUGUACCCAUCAGUGUCCAGUGGGAGUAUCUGCUCCAGCCAACAAGGUGAUGAUCUACAAAGUACUCUUCCUUGUGCCUCCUUGUGCCUGAAAACAGCAGGUAGUGGGGUUUUGUGGUCUAACGUGUUUAGGUGCACAUUUUGGAUUUUACCCAACAAUCACGUUUAUGCUCAUGAUGCUAAGGAAGAGAGCAACAUCUGAAAAUAUGAUUUGCUUUCAGGGCAUGACCUAUUUCCAGUACAGACAGCUCAGCCUGCCAGAAAACCCUGCCUUCUUAUUAGGGGGUCUGAAGAACACAGGGGGCCACAGAUAUCACUAGUGAAGCAGUGCUUAAGGAAUCGGUCCUACUUACACAGGAGGAAACCUCAGGGUCCUGAGAUGAUCUGGUCACCACUAUGGGUUUACUAUGGUUUUCUCAAGGACAGUUCCAUCUUCCUCCAUUCCACUUCACCGCCAACCAUCAUCAUCCUCUACAGCUGUGGGGAAGAGCAAAUAGCAAAAAAAGUGCUGGGGUCGGUAGGUGAAAAAGAAGAGCUGUGAAUUGCUCAGGAGGGGAGAGCUGACGGGUACCUUUUGCUCUUUCCUGGUUCAGGUCAAACUCCCUCUUCCAUUUGCUGGAAUCGUGACCAAACUGCACGCUCAGGAGACAGCAGGGUCAGGGAGAUCAAAGAAUUAUAAAUAAAUGCAGUAUAAACAAAUCAAUCAGAGAGAUAAAACAUUAGACAGAGCCACACUAAUUAAAAAUAUAAUAAUCCACAUAACGGACAUUUGUUUUAAAUGGUGCAAUUACAGCUUUUAAUCAUCUUGGUUUAAAUUAACGGCAGCAGCAAAGUGGCUGUGCAAACGUGUUCCCUGUAAUGAACUGAUAUUAGAAAGCCAGCUCGCUGAUCUCUCCCUCUCUCAGGCUAAUUCUCCCUCCGCUUGUUGUAAAAUAACCUUUUGAUGUCGUUUUCUUGUGGAGUCUUGAAGAUGAAGACACAGUAUCAGAGCUAAAUUAAAUCUCCUUCACAUAUUUCUCUUCUUUCAAGCUGUAAAAAUUGCUGGUAUCAGUCAUUCAGUCUCUAGUGCUGACGCAACCACACUCGAGGAGAACAUCUGGGGGCCCCAAGAGUCAUUAUAAGGAGAAUAAAAUCCUAUACUACAAUCAGUCAGCAAUUAAAAGACAGGAUGCAGGAGGGCUGAUCCUGCAAGAUGGUCAACUUGUGAUCCUCUGGGUCUCUUUUCUUCUUCUCUGAGUAGGUGAAGAGGAGGCUAGAAAGUUCCUAAAUCUGCUCCUACCCAUGCAAAUGGUCUUGGAAGUAGAUCCUUCGGGUUCGGAUCUAUGCAGAAGUCACAGGUUUAGUACCUGCUCACAGCCAGGUCUGUGGCAUUAGAGGGCUGCUCCUGAACUUGGCCCUGGUGUUUGAACAGCUAUGGUGUGGCUGAAGGCUACGUGUGGUGUAUGAGGUGGUGCCCCCAUAGGAGAGGGGCUCAGUGUUGCCGCCACCAAAUCAAAGGCAUGGAAUCUCUGUGUCCUGCUCAGUUCUAACCUACUGAAGCAAUGCCUCUUACCUCUCCUUAGCAAUCUGCAUGUUUUUCCCCACAAAUGUGUAACUACAGCUGCCCUAUAAAAGCAGAAGAGCUUUCCUACAGAAGAGCUCAGUGCCUACCAGCCAAGAUGCCAGCCAGUGCUCAAUGCAAUGACAGAAGUGAGGAAAUUGAUGAAGUCAAAGCCAUCCGGAUAAAUCUGUCUCAAGGUGGGUUUAAACCAGCUGCCCAAAAGAGAUGAAUCUCCACUGCCUGCAGAAAGAGCUCAAGGAGCUCCCAGCAGUCAGUCCCACACAUCACGCUGGUGACAGCACAGUGCUGGUCUUGCUCCCUGCAUUAGGAUGCGUCACGUCUCAGCUGGGUGUCCUUAUGGGCUGCAAGGGAUUAAAAAAGCACCAAGCAAACAGGGAAAAAUAGUCAUUUUGGAACCGUGGAAAGAUUUCUGCAUGGGAAAUGUGCAGGGAGAGCAUCCAUGUGAGUGUGUGCAUGUGUGUGUGCCUACACACAUUUCUGCCUGCGAAAGUCACGGCUCCGGAGCUGCUCACCCACCCACUGCUGGGUUUUGGCCAUUGCCACCAGGCACAAUCACCGACCUGUGUGCGUUGUUCCGAGCACGCAAUUAAAACCAGGAGCCCUUUGCAAAGAGGAUUUUGUCUUGCUAAUUAGCACCAAACCCUCUUCAUUUUCCUGUUUACCCAAAGAGUGUGCAAACACAGAGCAAGAGAGUCACACAGUCUUGAGUGCCGCAAUGGGCAAUGCAAUUACCUGUCCUGCACAUUAGGAUUAAUAAAUAUUAGCUUUACUUGCGUUUUUACUGUCCACCUAAGAUGGA